AUGCUAGAGAAAACCAUGAGAAACAAGAGCAUCACUUCACUGCCAGCAAAAGAGGGUGGCUCAUACAUAAAAGGAACAGACAUACAAGAGUGGUCUGACGUGGACAUGAUUCUUUUUAGCAGUGCCUUUAGAGAUUUAGAGGAUUGCCAAAAGAAAAUUACAGAGAUACUAGAAGAAUUAGGAAGAAAACUGAUGAAAUCUUCAUGGGCCAACAGGUUUGUAUUCAAAUUUGUGUUCAGUAUUACGGGCUUCUGCCUCCAUUUCCUCCUGACAUUUCUUUUCUCUUUAUAAAGAAAUUCCAUAAAAUGCUCUUGUUACAUCUCAAUUAGAUUACUGCAACACACUCUACAUAGGGCUGCCUUUGAAGACUGUUCAGAAACUUCAAGAAGUCCAACGGGCUGCAACCAGGCUGCUCACUGGAGCGGCAUAUAGGGAACAUACAACUCCUCUGCUGUGUCAGCUCCACUGGCUGCCAAUUUGCUACUGAGCACAAUUCAAAGUGCUGGUUUUAGCCUAUAAAGCCCUAAACAGUUUUGGCCUAGCUUACCUGUCUGAAUGCAUCUCCCCCUAUGCAUCUUGGAAGUUAAGAUCUUCUGGGGAGCCCCUGCUGUCAGUCCCACCUUCUUCACAGGUGCAGCUGAUGAGGACGAGGGACAGGGCCUUCACAGUGGUAGCCCCUCAGCUGUGGAACUCCCUUCCCGGUGAAAUUAAAAUUAGAAAUUAGAUUCCAGCCUUUAGAAAACAAAUUAAAACCUGGCUAUUGAACCAAGUGUUUGGAGAAUAGCACAGGGCUAUAUACAGCUAUGAAGUGAAUAGCAAUGAGAUUGACACAGCUUCUGGAUUAUGAUUUUUAGUCUAUGUCUAAUCUUUUAACAGCUUAAUUUUGUAUUUAUAUGUUAGUGUUUUAUGAUUUUCAUGAUUUAAUGCACAAUGUAUAUUGUAUAUUGUUUGUCUUAAGUUAAUGUGGCAUUAAAUUAUUGCCAAUUUGGAAACCGCUCUGAAUCGCCUUCGGGGUUGAGAUAGAGUGGCGGCGGCGGCGGCGGGAGGCCAGUGUCAGGAGCAACUUGAGAAACUGCAAGUUGCUUCUGGUGUGAGAGAAUUGGCUGUCUGCAAGGAUAUUGCUUAGGGGACACCCUGCAAGAGGUUUUUCUCGUGUCCCUGCAUGGGAAGCUGGAGCUGUCAGACGGGAGCUCACUUCUCUCCCUGGAUCCAAACUACUGAUCUUUUGGUCAGCAGUCCUGCCGGCACAAGGGUUUAACCCAUUGUGCCACCAGAGGCUCCUAUAGAGCAGGGUAAAAAUGCAGUCAAUAAAUAAAUAAACUCAUUGUGUUAACCAAUUCUUCCUUUUGUAGGCUAAUUUUGCAGAAAAGGACCCCAUUUUCAUUAAAAUUCUAUUUCAAGUGUUAUAAAGAUCAACAUGGCCAUUCACUUGAUAUUAUGCUUUGUUAUGAUAUACUUUGGUUUGCAGUAUUUCCAGGUAAGAACUUACUUUUAUUUUGAAGGCAGUUCCACUUCUAUUCCCACACCUCACUCUAUAUUCCUGUAGUACUCGUUUUUUGCAAUUGAUAGCAAUAAUAUUAUUUUCCAUUGGCUCACAAUUUGUUGAAUUUGGUUUUAGUUAAGAUGUGAAGAUAAUGUAGGUCAAGGCAGUGGCAUUAGUCUUAUCUCUUGCUUGGUGUUAACAGGUUUAAAAGAGAGCUUUUACCGCCAGCUCUACCUCUGCAGUGACAAUGAUAAAGUCCAGCUGUACACAAUGGCUCUGUUGAAAUACCAGGUUGAAUUUGUCAAGGUAUCCACAGAGAGGGUGAAGGGUCUUAUACGUUUAAUAAAGUACUGGUUCAAAACUUCCUUUGCAAAACCAACAGAGGAAAAUAAGUAAGUUGCUAGUAUACACAUACCGUGUUUAAUUUCCCUUUAUAGUACCAGAUCAUUGUGUUUUCCCAAGCUACAACUAUAUGGAGACUUAUGUAUUUCAGAAUUCUCUAGCCAAUACUGCCACUCAUCCUGGGAUUCUGAGAGCUGUAGUUCAAAAAAAGUAUCUUCCCAAGAUAGAGCUCUAAGCAAUCACCAAUUUGUGAAAAUGGAGAGCACGAAUAACUGAUGUGAAGCAAUACUUAAUAUGUCUUCAUAGAGAUAUUCCUAGUUAGUAUUGGAAGCCUCCCUGUAACUAACAAAUGAAAUGAGAUACCACAAUUGAAUUUUGCUGCUGGUCUUCAACAUUGAUUUGAUUUACACGGUUUGAUUCUAACCAUUCCUUAAGGCAGCUCAUUCUAUGAAAGUAAGUCUGGUGCAUGUUUGUGUUCAGGUUUCGCAGACUCCCUUCUUCCUACGCAGUGGAGCUCAUCACAAUCCAUGUAUGGGAGCUAGCUGGGAAACCCAUCUUUUUCAGUUUUGUACAGGGGAUGCGAGCUGUACUCAAGCUUCUGGUUCAGUAUCAGGAUAUAUGCAGUGUAUGGCAUAAGCAUUACAGGCCAAAGUUUACAGUUUUCCAAAAGGUGUUUUUGAAGCAAACCAGGUAAGGAAGCUUCAGAAGGUUCCUUGAAUAUUGCCAGAGAUAUUAAAUGAUACCAUCAGAAUUGUUGAUUGUUUGCUAUGAGGAUGAUUAAAUGAAAGAUACAUGAAGAGGUUUUCAUGGAAACAUUUUGAAGUUUUGGGCCAUAGUGAAAGACACCUCAAAUUCUAAGAAAUGGCACUGGAUCAGGAAUACAGUUGGAGAAAAACGUAAUUAUUCUAGGAAUUAUCCCAGAACAAAAUAAUUAUUCCGAAUCCCUGUCCUUGGAAAGUGUUCCCUCAGGGCCUUAAUGGAGAACCAAAACUUUUUUAUUCUAAUAUUAUCUUUAUUGACUUUAUACAGUGUUGUUUUUGUCAUUAUGGUUAUAUGGACAAGACUUAUGUUAUCUAUUUGCCAAUAACUGCUGUGUAAAUACUAGCUAUGAAAAAAAUGAUUUUGAAAACUUUAAAUCAGGAGCGGGAAUUGUGCAGCCCAUGGGCUACAUUUGGCCAUUUGCAGGAGUUUUGGAGAUCCACACCAACCCAUCCAGAACCCAGAAAGCCUUGAAAAAAACCCCUAAAUAAAAUACUGUAAUUCUAAAAUGUUUAAAACACUCUUUGCAGGGCAGUAUGGUGCUCUUUUGGGAGGCUCUCCAUCCUACUGCAGCAUACCCAAGGUACAAGGAACAGACCCAGGCCUGUCCCAUGGAUAAAAAGAUCAUACUCACUUUGGAACUGUCUUGAUCCUGACACAUGAUGUAUGACCUCUCUAGCAGUGAAAACA
ensembl:lncRNA